GGUUCCUUGCCAAGCGCUUAAAACCCAAAGGACUUGACGGUGCCCUAUAUCCAUCUAGAGGAGCCUGUCCUAUAAUCGAUAACCCACGUUUAACCUCACCACCCCUAGUUUAUCAGCCUGUAUACCUCCGUCGUCAGCUUACCUCGUGAGCGCUGCAUAGUGAGCAUAAUGUCUCCCAACAACACGUCAGGUCAAGGUGCAGCAAAUGGGGUGGGAAGAGAUGGGCUACACUUUCUACUUUAGAACACACGGAAAACUACUAUGAAAUCUAGUUUGAAGGCGGAUUUAGCAGUAAAAAGAGACCAUAAUACUCAUUUUAAUCUGGCACUAGGGUGUGUACACACCGCCCGUCACCCUCUUCGAACAAUUUAUU
rnacentral:rRNA from 1 species